rnacentral:rRNA from 1 species
CGGCGAGCGAAGUGGGAACGAGUCAGUGCCCAGGUCUGAAAUCUCCGGUCGGACCUAUUGCGCGGCCGGCGAAUUGUGGUCUGGAGAGCGGAGCUGUCCCGGAGUCGCGUUCCGUCGGGCCCGAAGUCGACUUGGAACGGCGUGCCGCAGAGGGUGAGAGCCCCGUAGGGCCGGGAAACCGGGAGCGACGGGACGAGAGCUCCGACUCGUCGAGUCGGGUUGUUUGGGAAUGCAGCCCAAAUGGGGUGGUAGACUCCAUCCAAGGCUGAACACGGGCGCGAGUCCGAUAGCGGACAAGUACCGUGAGGGAAAGGUGAAAAGCACUUUGAAGAGAGAGUUCAAGAGAGCGUGAAACCGUUGGGAGGGAAGCUCGGGGUGCCGAGGCGGUCUGGCCGUUGCCGGAGUUCAGCUGGCGUCGUCGCCGGCCGUUCGCGCCGAGGGGCGCGUCGGCCGGUUCGGUGCCCGCGCAGUCUCCGGGCGGUCUCGGUGACCGUCAGCGAGGUGGAGGUCCGCCCGUGUGUGUCGGCGUUCGUGGAGGUGGUGUCGGUCGGCGGCCCUCGGGUCGUCGCCCGAUCGUAAGCUCCGCUUUCGCCCGGGCGUGACGUCUCCUCCGGGAGAAGUGUGACGACGAGCGUCGUCUCCGGUCGUGAUAGGUGCGGAGCCCCUCGAGGGCCGCGGGCCCCCGUCGGUCGCCUCCGUUCGCGCGUCGGUCGGGCGUCUCCGUGUCGCGUUUCCUCUCGGUCUCGCGUC